GAUGAACGCUGGCGGCGUGCCUAAUACAUGCAAGUCGAGCGAACAGACGAGGAGCUUGCUCCUCUGACGUUAGCGGCGGACGGGUGAGUAACACGUGGAUAACCUACCUAUAAGACUGGGAUAACUUCGGGAAACCGGAGCUAAUACCGGAUAAUAUAUUGAACCGCAUGGUUCAAUAGUGAAGGACGGUUUUGCUGUAACUUAUAGAUGGAUCCGCGCCGCAUUAGCUAGUUGGUAAGGUAACGGCUUACCAAGGCAACGAUGCGUAGCCGACCUGAGAGGGUGAUCGGCCACACUGGAACUGAGACACGGUCCAGACUCCUACGGGAGGCAGCAGUAGGGAAUCUUCCGCAAUGGGCGAAAGCCUGACGGAGCAACGCCGCGUGAGUGAUGAAGGUCUUCGGAUCGUAAAACUCUGUUAUUAGGGAAGAACAAAUGUGUAAGUAACUAUGCACGUCUUGACGGUACCUAAUCAGAAAGCCACGGCUAACUACGUG
rnacentral:rRNA from 1 species